GAUUAUGCAAAAAGGAGAGAGAGAAAGAAGAAAAUGGCAAAUUCAACACCAGAGUUAGACCUGCUAACACAGCAAAGGGUCCUAUUGACACCUUGGGCAGAUUAAUACAUUAUGAAAAUAGGCUCAUAGUGUGGAGAGUAUAUACUAGAAGAAUUACAAAAGGGCAGAUGGGAAGAAUGAGGUGGCAAGAGGAAAAGGACAAAAUGAAGGAGGAUAAUUGGGUGUGCAUUUUUCGGUUACUUAUACACAUGAGGGAGAGAAGGGAGGUAUCUUUUGG
rnacentral:lncRNA from 1 species